rnacentral:rRNA from 1 species
UACGAAGGGGGCUAGCGUUGUUCGGAUUUACUGGGCGUAAAGCGUGCGCAGGCGGUUUUGUAAGCCAGAUGUGAAAUCCCCGGGCUCAACCUGGGAAUGGCAUUGGUGACUGCACGGCUAGAGUGUGUCAGAGGGGGGUAGAAUUCCACGUGUAGCAGUGAAAUGCGUAGAUAUCAGGAGGAACACCGAUGGCGAAGGCAGGUCUCUGGGCUGACACUGACGCUCAUGCACGAAAGCGUGGGGAGCAAACAGG